UUGCAACUGUGCUUCGCAAGCUAGAAAGAUGCUAGCGGACACCGUCGAACAGAACACAAAAGCAAUGGAAAGGGGCAGGUUCCAAGUUCCAGUGAAUCAAGAAUGGUCAGCCUAGCUGCUGCUCGGGGUAACACCAACGAUAAAGAUUCCCCUGGCUACAUGGCAUUGCCUCAAAUGUGUUGCCUGCCUGAUGAACCUGGAAAGGCUUAAAGGUACACAUGCAUAUGCUGUAUGAUUACGACAGUGCGGAAAGGACAUUGUGGAAGUACAGAUUGUCGAAGAACAGCUCAUACACUACAUACACCAGAGCUUGAGGAAGACAUGCUCACUCUGAUUAAUUACCAAGAUUUUUGUUGGAUUUCAUUUCCAACAAGCCCAAGUACU